ensembl:lncRNA
UCCUGGAAUUCCCAAAUCCGGGAAUAAAGUGCAGAAAUGUCCGUGGGGGGAGGGGAAUACCCGGAUUUCUUUAAAUAAUGGGGGAGGGGGGGAUAAAUAUUCCCGUGGGAAAAGGGGGGAGGGGAUCCCAGAGUUCUCGAUCCAAGGGGAUCCCAGAGUUCUCGAUCCAUGAGGAAUUCCAGAUCCCAAAGUUCUCGAUCCAGGGGGAUCCCAAAGUUCUCGAUCCCUGGGGAUCCCAGAGUUCUCGAUCCAGGGGGAAUUGGGGAUCCCAAAGUUCUCAGUUCAUGGGAAUUCCGGAUCCCAAAGUUCUCGAUCCCCAGGGAUCCCAAAGUUCUCAAUCCGGGGGGAUUUGGGGAUCCCGAAGUUCUCAUUCCAAGAGGAAUUCCAGAUCCCAGAGUUCUCGAUCCAGGGGGAAUUCCAGAUCCCAAAGUUUUCAGUUCAUGGGGAAUUCCAGAUCCCAAAGUUUUCAUUCCCCAGGGAUUUGGGGAUCCCAAAGUUCUCAUUCGAGAAGGAUCCCAAGGUUCUCAGUUCAUGGGGAAUUCCAGAUCCCAAAGUUCUCGUUCCAAGCGGAUUUGGGGAUCCCAAAGUUCUCGAUCCCUGGGGAAUUCCAGAUCCCAGAGUUUUCAUUCCAGGGGGAUCCCAAAGUUCCCAUUCCAAGGGGAUUUGGGGAUCCCAAAAUUUUCAGUUCAUGGGGAAUUCCAGAUCCCAGAGUUCUCGAUCCAGGGGGAUCUGGGGAUCCCAAAGUUCUCAUUCCAAGAGGAUCCCAAAGUUCUCAGUUCAUGGGGAAUUCCAGAUCCCAAAGUUUUCAGUUCAUGGGAAUUCCAGAUCCCAAAGCUCUCGAUCCCUGGGGAUCCCAAGGUUCUCAGUCCAAGGGGAUCCCAAAGUUUUUGAUUUGUGGGGAUCCCAAAGUUCUCAGUUUAUGGGGAAUUCCAGAUCCCAAAGCUCUCGAUCCCUGGGGAUCCCAAAGUUCUCAAUCCAUGGGAAUUCUGGAUCCCAAAGUUCUCAGUUCAUGGGAAUUCCAGAUCCCAGAGUUCUUGAUCCAGGGGGAUUUGGGGAUCCCAAAGUUUUUGAUCCCCGGUGAUCCCAAAGUUCUCAUUCCAUGAGGAAUUCUGGAUCCCAAAGUUCUCGAUCCCUGGGAAUUCCGGAUCCCAAAGUUCUCAGUUCAUGGGGAAUUCCAGGUCCCAAAGCUCUCGAUCCCCGGGGAUCCACCUGGGGAAUCCUUCCCUGGGAGCGCUCCCGGAUCUCUCCUCGCUCUCCCCGCUCCCAUCGGGAUCCCGCCGGGAUCGAGGGGAAUCCCUGGGAUCUGCCCCGACCAAUCCUUCCCAAAGAGUUCCCGGGAUCCGCCCGGGCCAAUCCUCUGCUGGAGCAGCCCCCGGGAUCCACUCGGAGGAAUCUUUCACUGGGAAAUCCCUGGGAUCCACUCAGAGAAUCCUUCCCUGGGAAAUCCCUGGGAUCCACUCGGAGAAUCCUUCACUGGAGCAGCCCCCGGGAUCCACUCAGAGAAAUCCUUCCCUGGGAAAUUCCCGGGAUCCACUCAGAAGAAUUAUUCACUGGGAAAGUUCCUGGGAUCCACUCAGAGAAAUCCUUCAUUGGGAAAUCCCUGGGAUCCACUAAGAGGAAUUAUUCACUGGGAAAUCCCUGGGAUCCACUCAGAAGAAUUAUUCACUGGGAAAGCCCCCGGGAUCCACUUGGAGGAAUCCUUCACUGGAGGAGCUCCUGAGAUCCACUCGGAGAAAUCCUUCACUGGGAAAGCCCCCGGGAUCCACUCAGAAGAAUUAUUCACUGGGAAAUCCCUGGGAUCCACUCGGAGAAAUCCUUCACUGGAGGAGCUCCUGGGAUCUGCUCCAACGAGUCCUUCCUUGGGGGAGUUCCGGGAUCCACCCGGAGAAAUCCAUCCUGUGGAGAGCUCCUGGGAUCUCUCCAGACCAAUCCGUCCCUGGAAAAGCUCCUGGGAUCCACCUGGGGAAUCCUCCUCUGGAAAAUUCCUGGGAUCCACCUGGAUAAUCCUUCCCAGGAAAAGUUCCUGGGAUCCACUCAGACCGAUCCUCCACUGGAAGAGCUCCUGGGAUCCACUUGGAGAAUCCGUCACUGAAAAAGUUCCUG